rnacentral:rRNA from 1 species
AUUGAACGCUGGCGGCAUGCCUUACACAUGCAAGUCGAACGGCAGCGGACCUUCGGGUGCCGGCGAGUGGCGAACGGGUGAGUAAUAUAUCGGAACGUACCUUUCAGUGGGGGAUAACGUAGCGAAAGUUACGCUAAUACCGCAUAUUCUGUGAGCAGGAAAGCAGGGGAUCGCAAGACCUUGCGCUGAUUGAGCGGCCGAUAUCAGAUUAGCUAGUUGGUGAGGUAAAGGCUCACCAAGGCGACGAUCUGUAGCGGGUCUGAGAGGAUGAUCCGCCACACUGGAGCUGAGACACGGUCCAGACUCCUACGGGAGGCAGCAGUGGGGAAUUUUGGACAAUGGGCGCAAGCCUGAUCCAGCCAUGCCGCGUGAGUGAAGAAGGCCUCGGUUGUAA